GAAGUUCGCCAGGCAGUCGCUGUGUGCCUUCGGGUGCAUGGAGGAAAGUCCGGGCCCCGCAGAGCAGGAUGCCGGCUAACGGCCGGGCGCCGUGAGGCGACGGAAAGUGCAACAGAGAGUAAACCGCCGAUGGCCUCCGUCAGGGGGAUCAGGUAAGGGUGAAACGGUGGGGUAAGAGCCCACCGCAGGACUGGCGACAGGACUGGCACGGCAAACCCCAUCCGGGGCAAGGCCAAAUAGGGGAGUCAUGGCGUGGCUCGCGUCGCUCCCGGGUAGGCUGCUAGAGCGGCACGGUAACGUGUCGCCCAGAGGAAUGACUGCCCGAUGCAUCGGUUCGCCGGUGCGUUCGACAGAACCCGGCUUAUCGGCGAACUUCCCAA
rnacentral:RNase_P_RNA from 2 species